rnacentral:lncRNA from 1 species
AAGGAGGGGAAUUUACGGGUCUGCUUUUUGUGUUUGCUUCUCCCUCAGCUGUCUCUGCGGGCAUUAGAAUCUAAUGCUGGGAGAUCACCUUCCAGGAUCAAAUUAUUACAAGAAUACGGAGAAUAAAAGCCCUAAGCACUGUCUCCCUCCCCGGCUAAACCCACACGUUUAAAGGAGGGUCCCAGGCUAUGCAGAAAUGGACCACCGAUAUGAAGACAACCCUUCCUGGGAAAACCAAACCGCACCUGCUUCCCCCCAAGGAGAGAUAGAAGACCCUCCCUGUGAGUGUCCAGAUCGUGGAGUAAGAGCCGUAAAACCAGAAGUGCCACAAUCCAUGGAAAGCCAGACACCGCAUUGUUUCAGUGAAACCACCAAGUCUAUCUGAAAGCUUGUUUUUACCGUUGAUUGGAAGUGGUGAAGGUUUCUGAUACGAACGCAGUGGCUAGGAGCAGCAGUGCUGUCUGUGGCAGACGGACGCUUUCGAUUUUAAUCAUGAGUGGCGGAAGGAAGCGGCCGGGGCUGGAGAAUCGAGCUGGAGAAAAAGUGACAGGGAAAGGACUGUCGUGAUAGAAUUGAUGUCAGAGAUCUCCUGUGGCAUCAUCAACACCUUUCCUGAGAGAAUGGUGAGAUAUCAGUCUGGUCAACCCUUCGAGAUCAUAAUGGAAUGGACAAUUUAUGGUAAUUAAAAAUUUAAUGAUGAUUUAACAUUUUAUAAGGAGUGAUAAUAAUAAUAGUGGUAUUUGUUAAGCUCUAUGUGCCAGGCACUGUACUGAACACUGGGGUAGAUACAAACUAAUGAGGUUGAACACAGUCCCUGUCCCACAGUCUUAAUCCCCAUUUUAUAGAUGAGGUAAUGAAGGCACAGAGAAGUGGAGUGACUUGCCCAAGGUCACACAGCAGACAAGUGGCAGAGCUGGGAUCAAAAUCCAGAACCUUCUGAUUCCCAGGACUGGACUCUAUCCCCUAGGCCACGCUGCUUCUCCACACGAUGAUAAGUUUAGCACCAGUAAGCGCCUUGUGGAGAGAGUAGACAUUUUGGACUUCUACUGUACUUUCCCAAGCAUUUAGUGCAGCAUGUUGUACCCAG